rnacentral:ncRNA from 1 species
UCCAAAUUCUUUAUAAAACGAUGCAUUUAUGUAUUUUUGAUUUGAAAAUUUGGUAUAACUCCAAUUACUCAGGUAUGAUCCAAUUCAAGGACAUUGCCAGGUAGGGAGUUUGACUGGGGCGGUACAUCUCUCAAAUAAUAACGGAGGUGUCCCAAGGCCAGCUCAGUGCGGACAGAAACCACACAUAGAGCAAAAGGGCAAAUGCUGACUUGAUCUCGGUGUUCAGUACACACAGGGACAGCAAAAGCUCGGCCUAUCGAUCCUUUUGGUUUAAAGAGUUUUUAACAAGAGGUGUCAGAAAAGUUACCAUAGGGAUAACUGGCUUGUGGCGGCCAAGCGUUCAUAGCGACGUCGCUUUUUGAUCCUUCGAUGUCGGCUCUUCCUAUCAUUGUGAAGCAAAAUUCACCAAGCGUUGGAUUGUUCACCCAUGCAAGGGAACGUGAGCUGGGUUUAGACCGUCGUGAGACAGGUUAGUUUUACCCUACUAAUGACAAAACGUUGUUGCGACAGCAUUCCUGCGUAGUACGAGAGGAACCGCAGGUACGGACCAAUGGCACAAUACUUGUUCGAGCGAACAGUGGUAUGACGCUACGUCCGUUGGAUUAUGCCUGAACGCCUCUAAGGUCGUAUCCGUGCUGGACUGCAAUGAUAAAUAAGGGGCAAUUUGCAUUGUAUGGCUUCUAAACCAUUUAAAGUUUAUAAUUUAUUUUAUAAACGACAAUGGAUGUGAUGCCAAUGUAAUUUGUAACAUAGUAAUUUAGGAGGAUCUUCGAUCACCUGAUGCCGCGCUAGUUACAUAUAAAAGCAUUAUUUAAUACAAUGACAAAGCCUAGAAUCAAUUGUAAACGACUUUUGUAACAGGCAAGGUGUUGUAAGUGGUUGAGCAGCUGCCAUACUGCGAUCCACUGAAGCUUAUCCUUUGCUAGAUGAUUCGA